AUAACUAUGUUUAAUAUCUGAAGGAGUUCAGGAAACAGUACGUUCAAUGACGCAAAUAGUGGGGGGAAUGUUAUAUUUCUCAUGGAUUUGGAAGAUGCAUUUCACUCAGUUGGGGAAUUUGGCAGCUAUCAAAAAGUGUUAGUUACGUGCUUGGUUCUUUUACAGAUUUAUGCAGCGUGUCAGUGUAUGUUGAUUGUCUUGGUGGGUGCAGAACCUAGGUACCUUGUUGACCUGGAAUCAAAUUCAGCUGGUCAGAAGGACUUUGUCACACAUGUUAAAUUUGCAGAUGAUUUUACUUCCAUAGUGUCUGAGUGGUUCUUAAUUAAAGAAGAUGCUUAUAAGGUUCAUUUGGCUGGAUCGUUGUUUUUUGCUGGGCUUCUCAUUGGAAAUGUUUCAUUCGGACCUUUGUCAGAUAAACUGGGCAGGAAACCAGUAUUUCUGGCAGGCUUGUUCCUUGAAGUUAUCUUUGGAUAUGUGACCUGUUUGGCCCCAAAUUAUGCAGUGUUUGCUGCUUCACGCCUCUUUGUUGGUGUUAUGAAUGGUGGAAUGUCCUUGGUCUCUUUUGUACUGACUCAAGAGUAUGUGGGCAAAGCUUACUGGGCAUUAACAGGCUCAGUAACUAAUCUGACAUUUGCUGUUGGCAUUACGUGCUAUGCCCUGAUGGGUUACUUUGUAAAGGAAUGGAGGAGUCUUGCAGCGGCAGCCAAUUCAUUUGGAGUUCUUUUUUUCCUGUUUGCAGUAAUGCUUCCAGAAUCUCCAAGGUGGUUGUACGCUCAAGGGAAUACUGAAAAAGCAGAGAAACUACUGCAGUACUUUGCCCUCAGAAAUGGAAAUGAAAGAUCAGCUAUUAAACUGAAACCAUGUGCUGGAACAGAGAAAACCAAUGAAUCAUCUCGUGGUGUCUUGGAUAUAGUAAAAAAUCCAGUCCUCCGUUGGAGGACUGUCAUCUUGAUGUAUGUCUGGUAUGUCUGCAGUCUUGUAUAUUAUGGUUUAACACUGAAUACAAGUGAAUUACAAGGAAACCAGUACCUUAAUCUUGCUCUCUCUGGCCUUGUGGAAGUUCCAGCAUUCCCUGUCUGCAUGUACUUUAUUGAGAAACCAUGGGCAGGAAGGCGCAAAACAAUGGCUGGAUUUUUGGUGUUUUCAGGACUUGCAUGUAUAUUUACUAUGGUUUUACCUGAACAGUCUGAAUCAUUCUUGAACACUGCAGUUAUAGCCUUGUGUGGAAAACUGGCAGUGAGUGCUGCAUUCAAUAUUCUGUACAUUUUUACAUCUGAACUCUAUCCCACCGUGGUAAGGAGUGCUGGGCUUGGUAUUUGUGCCAUGUCUAGCCGAUUUGGGGGUAUUUUGGCUCCAUUUGUGCCAUCUAUGAGGUCUGUUAGCACGUCCAUGCCUUUUGUAGUAUUUGGAGUAAGUGGAGUAUCUGCAGGGAUCUUGGAUUUACUGCUUCCAGAAACACUCAAUAAACCAAUUGCUGAAGGAAUGGAUGAUCUGAUCAGUCCAACAUACCAGCUCCUUGAUGCUAAAAAAACAGUGCAGGCAAUCCAGUCAGAAGACACUCCGUAAAAGUUUCAGGAGUAAACAAUUGCAAGAAAUAUGAAUAUCCUGUGGACCAACAAGGGUAUACAAUUCUGCAAGGAGAGAGCACUGAUUUCUUACACUUUUGAAUUCAAAAGUAACAAAAAAUGUGUCUUGUUUGGACACUUAAUUUCAUUAUAUAACAAGUUGAACUCUAGAGCUGCCUUUGCAUAGUCUUACAAAGCAGUAUGUAAUAUAGCUGGGAUACAUAAAAGGAGAAAACAGAAAAGGGACCACAAGUGACAUUAUGGGUCCAGCUUUGAAAAUGCAGAAGAAAUUACAGUACUUGACAGUAUGACAAGUUAACAUUUAUUUGUAACUGAUGCACUGUUGCGUUUUGAACUCUUGAAGAAAGAGGGAUUUAUACUUGUAAUGUCUGUCCUUAUUUAAGGUAAAGUAACAUGGAAAAGGCUUGCUCAUACAGAUGUGGAGAAGAAAAUGGCAAUAAUUUCUAGAGAGCUUUGUCUGUUAACCCUGGAUAAAUGUUUUACUGACAACAAAAAGUCAGAAAGACUGUUUUGUUUAAAAGCAGUUUUUAAAGUACCAUCACACGAUAGCUGUGCCAGAUCAUUUUGUUCUGGGUUUGUCAAAUCAUUGAAUUCAUCUAUUUUUUUUGCAACUGAAUGGAUCUCCGAUCUAGUUUUUAUUACAUUGGUGUGGAGGAAAAUAAAAUUUGAAGGUGUCUUUCAAA